CGCAGCCCCACAAAUUAAAUUGAUGAUUCCCAUAUCGGGCCAAAAAUGCAACAGGAGAAGGCUAUGAAAAAUUAGGAAAUCUUCUUGACAUCGGGAAAUCCGACACUUGUUUGCUCUAACAUCUGUAAGUGCCAAGGAAAGAGGGAUAUUUUUUUUCCUUAAAGAAAGGCAGGUUUGCCUAUCUCCAAGGGACGAUCGGUCAGGGUUGUUUUCUGAAGAAGAAGCCUAUAGGUAAAGAGGCAUCCAUAUGCUCACGCAGGAAGAUUCAUAAAGGCAAGGACAGGAACAUAAAGGUAUUAUUUUGACAUGAUGGCCCCUGGAAAAUGUCUGACUCAUCCCAACCUAAAACCUACAAUGAAUUUACAUCAUCUAUAUGGAGCUUUGGACCAACAGGU